UUGUAGGCUCUGCCAAGAGGCAAAUGCACAGUGAAUUUCAGAUAAGAGAAGACUUUGGAUUUCAGCCCAAAAGUGAUACUCGGGAGGUGUGUGUGUGUCUUUCUGAGUGAAAGAGAGCAGACACGCAAGUAUGUGUGUGUGUGUGAGACAGAGAGAGAGAGAGAGUUAGGGAGGCAAGAAAGAUGACAAGAAGCAGAUGAAGAAACACUGACAAGUGAAUGCUACUCCUCUUCCUGAUUUUUCUCCCGCAUCUUCUCAGUCACCUCAGUAGGACAGCAUCUCCCAAGAUAACGGCAAACAUCUGUGUUGGUACUGGCUCUGUCUGUGAAAGAACUGACCCGGAGGAGUUCUUAUUGAUAAAGGAACCGCACUAGUGGGAAGAAUAGCAGAGGGAUAUGAUGGUGAACUCUUAUCAAAGGUCACACAUGUCAUCACUCAAGGUACCAACUUAUUGCUGACCAUGGAGAAUCUCUAGAACAUGAAACAUAUCAAGACUGGUAGCAAAGUGGUAAAGAGUCCGCCUACCAAGACAGGAGAUGCAAUGGACACACGUUCAAUCCCCGGGUUGGGAAGAUUCCUGAGAGAAGGAAAUGGCAACACACUCCAGUAUUCUUAUCUGGAAAAUUCCAUAGAUGGAGGAGCCUAGUGGGCUACAGUCCAUGGUGUAGCAACGAGUUGAACACUACUGAACAACUGUUCAGCAUCAGCCUCUUUAGCAAGACCACGCCUGUUUAAGAUAGAUGCGCCAAGCUAUCUUAACCUAAUAUCAAAAUAGUAUCAUGUGUAUAACUUGAUUUUUAAAACUUUUCAAUCAAAAAGUACAUAAAAUAAACAUCUAGUAAA